ACUGCGAUUAAGUCAAAAUUCCAUUGUUGAUGAUUAGCAUGGCUCAAUCCAAGACGAAAAUCCAACCCUGAGCCCCUGAAUACGUAUCGAGUAUUUGCUAUUUUGGACAUCCAGCGCCCGAUGAUAGAUAGUGGCUCGACAACAAGGUGAAAGAUGUAAUUUGAGCCCAGAUCCGAGAAAAAGUGGAUCAAUCAAGACGUCCAGACCUACUGACUUUGCAAACCGUGCUUGACAUGAAAUUUGAUGUGUUUGGUAUUAGGGAAACUUGAUUCAUAAUUGUAAUGAAAAUAAGCCUCCCUUUUUAUUAACGAAUGCCCUAUGGGCCAUGGCCCUUCCUUCAACUUCUAAACAUCUUUGACUAUGGCCCAUUACAGCGAAAGUCAAGCCCGCUCGAUGACCAACUCACAGAUUCGGUCCAAGCUCUGCCGUAUUCAUAUCCAUCCACAACCCAUGGAUUCAUCCAUGUUUGCUCAUUGAUCAGUACUCACUUUGGUUCCCCCUCCGCGAACUUUGGUGUACAUGUAGAUUCCGGCCAAAGCCCCCAGCGUGGCAAUGGACGUGCGAUAGCGACCUUUGAAGGUGGUCGUGUUAAAGUAGGCCUCGUUACCACCGGUCAUCUUGAAGAGUUCAAGUGAUCCACGAACAGAAGGAACCAAUCAAACACCUGAAACGGAAUGCAAUCCCACAGCUCAAUCGCUCGU